rnacentral:lncRNA from 12 species
CCUAACACAUGCAUUUAUCACAGAAAUACUAUGGUUUCCAUUUUAUAGAUGCACAGACUAAAAGUCAAGAGGCCAGUAGUGCAGAACCAGGUAUUUGCACCCAAGUGCCUCUGACUUCAAAAGUCUGCACCCAUGACCACUAUGCUGUGGGCUGACUCAUGACUCCCCUUUUUUUUUUCAGGUUCAAAAUACAAACCAGAGGAUUAAAUGCUCUGAGCUGCUCUCAGUAAAGACGCCCAGUUACCAUUGCUUAACAUGAAACAACAUUAGCAGCUUUGCCAAGCUCUGCCAGGGACCUCAGUCAGCAGGACGGAGAGACCCAUUCGACGCAUCGGAGGAGGAGUCCUACUAUUUCUACUCUGUGCCAAGGGGCUCUUCAGUGUAAGAAUAGACUCUGUCCCACUGGGACUUGGGGGGACUGAUGAGGGAUCACUUCACCACAAGCUUAAUGCGGAGCAGUCCCUCGCCUCCCCCGACUAAGCUCUCCUUCUGUGGAAGAGGAAUCUGCGACCAUCUGUAUGUGACAAGAGCAAGUGGCUAGGGGACUGUUUGAGUCACUGGGGUGACGCCGAAUAUCCCUGCAUCAAUAUGACGACCCUCUGCAGCAACCCGCCAUCCAGGGAAACACUGUGGUAAAGAACUAGUUAGUGCACAACCAGGACUAGUGCUGAGACCUCCCAGCAGACAGUCCACGUGGAGCUCCAGGCCAUGGGGCAGUGUCUCCUGCCACCCUCACACCAAACCUGCGAGGAGCUGGGCCCUGUACCCGGGGGGUGCACAGCUGCCACCGGACUGGCUGAGGUGAGCAAGGCCACACAGCCUGUGGGCGGCAGAGCCAGGCCCGGGCCCUGCACAUGGGUCAGGAUGGAGAUGAAGGAUGGCCCUGCUAUUAUUACAACUUGUCAAGAAACCUCAUUGGUUUGAUCAAUCCAGAC